GGCGGGCUGGGGGCGGAGCCCAAGCGAACAUUCACAACGAUCGUGAGACCGUAGCGACUGCUUCUGUCUGUGGUAUAGGUAUGGCGCCCGCGAGGAAGCCGAGAGGCGGCGGGAACCCACGUCAGGGUCUCGCCUUGUGCUGACUGCGACCCUGGUCCAAGUGGACUAUGGGGGAUCCCGGCUCCCUGGUCACGGAAGGCCGCGCGGGUGAACGGAGCUGGUGCUUGCGGCGAGUGGGGAUGAACACCGAGUGGCUGCUGCUGGAGGAUGGCAACGAGGUGACUGUAGGGCGAGGAUUUGGUGUUACAUACCAGUUGGUAUCAAAAAUCUGCCCUCUGAUGAUUUCCCGAAACCACUGUAUUUUGAAACAGAAUGCUGAGGGCCAGUGGACAAUUAUGGACAACAAGAGUCUGAAUGGUGUCUGGCUGAACAGAGAACGUCUAGAACCUUUAAAGGUCUAUUCUAUCCAUAAAGGAGAUCACAUCCAGCUUGGGGUACCUCUGGAAAAUAAGGAGAAUGCAGAGUAUGAAUAUGAAGUUACUGAAGAAGAUUGGGAGAGGAUUUAUCCUUGUCUUUCCCCCAAAAGUGACCAGAUGAUGGAAAAAAAUAAGGGCUUGAGAACUAAAAGGAAAUUGAGUUUGGAUGAAUUAGAGGGUUCUGGAGCUGAAGGCCCCUCAAAUUUGAAAUCCAAAAUAAGUAAAUUGUCUUGUGAACCUGCUCAGCAAGUGAAGUCACAUGGGAAGGGUAAAGUGGCCAGUCAACCUUCUGAAUAUUUGGAUCCUAAGUUGACUUCUUUUGAGCCAAGUGGGAAGACCACAGGGGCUCAUGUUAACCCAGGCCCUGCAAAAGUUAUAGAGCUUCUUCGUAAGAAGAAGAAAGCUUCAAAUCCUUCAGCAUCUCAGAGCAGCUUAGAGCUGUUUAGGGUAACCAUGUCCAGGAUCCUAAUGCUGAAAACACAGAUGCAGGAAAAACAGGUGGCUGUUCUGAAUGUGAAAAAGCAGACCAAAAAAGGGAGCUCAAAGAAGAUUGUGAAAAUGGAGCGGGAACUGCAGGAUUUACAGUCCCAGCUGUGUGCAGAGCAGGCCCAACAGCAGGCCAGAGUGGAGCAGCUCGAGAAGACUAUCCAGGAAGAGCAGCAGCAUCUCGAGGGUUUGGAGAAAGAGGAAGGCGAAGAGGACCUGAAGCAGCAGCUGGCCCAGGCUCUGCAGGAGUAUCGGUCUCUGAUGGAAGAGCUAAAUCGCAGCAAGAAAAACUUUGAAGCAAUCAUUCAAGCCAAGGACAAAGAAUUGGAGCAGACCAAGGAAGAGAAGGAGAAGGUGCAAGCACAGAAGGAGGAAGUUCUUAGCCACAUGAAUGACGUGCUAGAGAAUGAGCUCCAGUGCAUUAUUUGCUCAGAAUACUUCGUUGAGGCUGUCACCUUGAACUGUGCCCAUAGUUUCUGCUCCUACUGUAUCAAUGAGUGGAUGAAGCGGAAAGUAGAAUGCCCCAUUUGUCGGAAGGACAUCAAGUCCAAAACCCGCUCCCUGGUUCUGGACAAUUGCAUUAGUAAGAUGGUAGACAAUCUGAACUCAGAAGUGAAAGAACGACGAAUUGUCCUCAUCAGGGAACGAAAAGCCCUUCAGCAAAUAUCAGCCUCUUUGAAUCAGGCCAGAAAUCUGAUGCUGACUUGUAAGCAGCUGUAGUGUGGAAUGGGCCCUUGGUUGGUGAGCCAUUGCAGGGGCAGCAGACCAGUCACAGGGAAAGAGAUUGUUCUGAAGACAGUGCUCCAGGGACAGACUGCAGGGCACUGGGAACUUCAGAUGGUCUGGAAGAUUCUCUUGGACGGUCUUGGGCAGCUCUGAGAGCAUGGCAUGGACCCAGUGGGACAGAAUGAGUUAGAAAACCCUCCAUCACAAGCCUCCGCCUGGGCCGUCCCUGCUGCCACCAUUGUCUGAAGCCCCGACAGCUUCAGGGUCCUUGAGAGACUCUGUUCACUACAUGUUGUAUGGGUUAUAUAUUUCUGUUGUACUUUUUAAACUUGUUGUUGUUAUUGUUUGGGUACCUCAGAAGCACCUCUGUUGACAUUUGUUUGGGACAAAUUGGGUAUUACCCCUAUUGCUGCCCCCGAAGGCAAAGGCAGCCUCUAUUUGAGAGGAUGGCAUACCUCUUCUUUGUGAAAACAAGAUGUCAUUUCCUGAAAAUAAAAUGUAAAACCGA